GGGUAUGAAAAUGCCGUUGAUAGAGGAGCCUGCGCUUGAUUAGCUUGUUGGUGGGGUAAUGGCCUACCAAGGCAAUGACCAAUAGCCGGCCUGAGAGGGUGACCGGCCACACUGGGACUGAGACACGGCCCAGACUCCUACGGGAGGCAGCAGCUAAGAAUCUUCCGCAAUGGGCGCAAGCCUGACGGAGCGACACCGCGUGGAUGAUGAAGGCCGUGAGGUUGUAAAAUCCUUUUCUUAUUGAGGAAUAAGUAUCAUGCGUAAGUGUGAUAUGAUGACGGUAAAUAAGGAAUAAGCCCCGGCUAAUUACGUGCCAGCAGCCGCGGUAAUACGUAAGGGGCAAGCGUUGUUCGGAAUUAUUGGGCGUAAAGGGUAUGUAGGCGGAUUGGUAGGCAUUAUGAUAAAGAUCGUAGCUCAACUACGAGUCAUUGUGAUGAACCUCCAAUCUAGAGUUAUAGAGGGGAAACUGGAAUUCCUGGUGUAAGGGUGAAAUCUGUAGAUAUCAGGAAGAACAUCAGAGGCGAAGGCGAGUUUCUGGCUAAUAACUGACGCUGAUGUACGAAAGCGUGGGGAGCAAACGGGAUUAGAUACCCCGGUAGUCCACGCCGUAAACGAUGUGCACUAAGUGGUGGGUCUGCGAAGAUUCACUACCGUAGCUAACGCGUUAAGUGCACCGCCUGGGGAGUAUGCUC
rnacentral:rRNA from 1 species